UCUUUAACAAUUUUCGUUACAUCAAUCUUGUUAGGAAUUGUAAUUUCUUAAAAAAGAUGGACGGAGAUUUGUUAAAGAUC
rnacentral:pre_miRNA from 1 species